rnacentral:lncRNA from 1 species
CCUAAAUGAAGGCAAAAUAAUCAUUUCAAUAGGAGAUGAAAUAAGCCAAUUGCAGGGCUGCAUAAUAGAUGAAAAAUUAGUAAGGUACUGGUAAAUAGCCUAGGAGUAGCUAGCCUUAUAAAGAUCUCUAUAUGUUAUACAAAAAAUCUCACAAUGUUGUAAAGUCACAAAAGAUAAGGUAGUAAUGGAUUGCCUUCAUUAUAUAAUGUAACAUAAUGAUUAUAGGCAC